AGUUUGAUCAUGGCUCAGAUUGAACGCUGGCGGCAGGCCUAACACAUGCAAGUCGAGCGGUAGAGAGAAGCUUGCUUCUCUUGAGAGCGGCGGACGGGUGAGUAAUGCCUAGGAAUCUGCCUAGUGGUGGGGGAUAACGUUCGGAAACGGACGCUAAUACCGCAUACGUCCUACGGGAGAAAGCGGGGGAUCUUCGGACCUCGCGCCAUUAGAUGAGCCUAGGUCGGAUUAGCUAGUUGGUGAGGUAAUGGCUCACCAAGGCGACGAUCCGUAACUGGUCUGAGAGGAUGAUCAGUCACACUGGAACUGAGACACGGUCCAGACUCCUACGGGAGGCAGCAGUGGGGAAUAUUGGACAAUGGGCGAAAGCCUGACCCAGCCAUGCCGCGUGUGUGAAGAAGGUCUUCGGAUUGUAAAGCACUUUAAGUUGGGAGGAAGGGCAGUAACCUAAUACGUUAUUGUUUUGACGUUACCGACAGAAUAAGCACCGGCUAACUUCGUGCCAGCAGCCGCGGUAAUACGAAGGGUGCAAGCGUUAAUCGGAAUUACUGGGCGUAAAGCGCGCGUAGGUGGUUCAGUAAGUUGGAAGUGAAAUCCCCGGGCUCAACCUGGGAACUGCUUUCAAAACUGCUGAGCUAGAGUACGGUAGAGGGUGGUGGAAUUUCCUGUGUAGCGGUGAAAUGCGUAGAUAUAGGAAGGAACACCAGUGGCGAAAGCGACCACCUGGACUGAUACUGACACUGAGGUGCGAAAGCGUGGGGAGCAAACAGGAUUAGAUACCCUGGUAGUCCACGCCGUAAACGAUGUCAACUAGCCGUUGGGAGUCUUGAACUCUUAGUGGCGCAGCU
rnacentral:rRNA from 1 species